GCAGUAUCUUGACUGUACAAAGGUAGCAUAAUCAUUAGUUUUUUAAUUGAAAGCUGGAAUGAAUGGCCUAAUAAGGAAAUGACUGUCUCUUUUUAAUUAAGUUGAACUUUAUCUUUAAGUCAAAAAGCUUAAAUUUAAUAAAAAGACGAGAAGACCCUAUAGAGUUUAAUAGGUUUAUAUUUUUAUAGUUUAGGAUUUUAUUAUAUACAAAUAUAAGCUUAUUUGGUUGGGGUGACGAUAGAAUUUAAUAAACUUCUUUUAUUUAAUCAUUGAUUUAUGAAUAAAUGAUCCUAUUAUUUAGAUUAAAAGAAUAAAUUACCUUAGGGAUAACAGCGUAAUUUUUCUGGAGAGUUCUUAUCGAUAGAAGAGAUUGCGACCUCGAUGUUGGAUUAAAGUUUAAUUUUGGUGUAGGAGCUAAAAUAUUAAGACUGUUCGAC
rnacentral:rRNA from 1 species